CCUCGGCCACAGGCACUGAUCGGCGACAAGUGACCGGAGCAGCCGGAGGCGACGAGACGGGACGGGCUUGGGGGUCGCUUUUGUUAAACGCCGCGCCCCCGUUCCUACCCCGCUGCCCCGCUCCCGGGGGACUCGACGGGGCGGGAUGGAGCCACCCCGCCGGGGCUGCAAGCACCCCACGCCUACCUUCGUCCUCUGCCGAGGUUUCGUUGCUCUCGGGCAUCUUCUCGGGACUCUCCUCCUUACUCCUCGCUCCAUCGCCUUCGUCGUCGUCUUCGUCCUCGCUCUUGUUCCGCGGGGCCCAGGUCAUCUUGUUCUCCUUCUUGAGCCGCCGGCGGGCGUUGGCGAACCAGAUCGGAGAGUCACAGGCUCAACAUCGCCCAAUAUCCCGCACAGUUCACAACCUCGCUGCAACUUCCAGCCACUCGCCUACUGCUUCUCAACAGGAAAAACAAGAGAGACCCUCAGAUCUUUUUUACCACCCCGAAUAAAGACUGCACGAGAAUUUAUGCGCCGUAUUAUGAACAGACGGAAAGCAAGUAGCUUCUCUGUCACUUUGCAGGGAGAGAGAACUACCCCGCUGCCAUCCUCUCCUAGGAUAUCGACAGCGGCUCUAGCCUCAAAUUCCGAGCACAGGUCUUUGUGUGUACGGACUAGAUAUGUGUCUGACGCUCUGUGUGCACGCUUGUUUAUAAAACUAUAUAACCAUCUAGACUUGCAGUUUGUUUAUAUAGUUUAUGGUUUUAUUUAUAUACUUUAUGCACAGAACACACACAACACGCAAUUGCAACUGCUCCUUAAACUAAUAAGAAGAAAGUGAAAUCCGAAACUGCGGCCACUACGACCAUUUUGGGCUUAAGCGAAGCUCACAGAUCGCAAACAGAUGCUCCUUUUCAUUCCCAAAAUCCAGUUAAACCAUUAGCACAAAACACACUGAAAGUAAAUAAAACCACACGGGGAUAAAGCCCCCAGCGCCUCUAAACACCGACUUAAAAGAGAGAGAGAAGAAAAAUUAGGAAAAAAAAAAAAGAAGAAGAAAAAUAAACCCUCCCUUGUGCUAUCACUGCGAAAAGAAAAAAAAUACACAUUAAAAGAAAAAAAAAAAAAAGAAGGAAAGCCUGGGACCCACAGACACGGGAACGGGGGGAAAAUGAAAGCAUCCAACCCAACCCAACUGGCUGAGACCAUCCGUAUUCCCUCAACCAAAGCGCCCUCCCGGCUCCUCAAACCGCGCGGAGAGCCCGGGACCCAGGCCGGCACCGCGCUUGGCCGGGACGCUAAGCAGAGCCCCG
rnacentral:lncRNA from 1 species